ACCAGCACCUCGAGUGGUCAGGAGGUUUAUUGGGCCUAAAGCAUCCGUAGCCGGCUUUGCAAGUCCCCGGUUAAAUCCAGCUGCCUAACAGAUGGGCUGCCGGGGAUACUACAGAGCUAGGAGGCAGGAGAGGCAAGCGGUACUCAGUGGGUAGGGGUAAAAUCCGUUGAUCCAUUGAAGAUCACCAGUGGCGAAGGCGGCUUGCCAGAAUGCGCUCGACGGUGAGGGAUGAAAGCUGGGGGAGCAAACCGGA
rnacentral:rRNA from 1 species